rnacentral:rRNA from 1 species
AGAGUUUGAUCCUGGCUCAGGAUGAACGCUAGCGACAGGCCUAACACAUGCAAGUCGAGGGGCAUCGGGGCGAGGAGCAAUCCUUGCCGCCGGCGACCGGCGCACGGGUGAGUAACGCGUAUGCGACCUGCCCGUUGCAGGGGGAUAAUCGGGAGAAAUCCCGUCUAAUACCGCGUAAUGCCGCGGGGCUGCAUGGCCCUGCGGCCAAAGGGAGCGAUUCCGGCAACGGAUGGGCAUGCGUGACAUUAGCUAGUUGGCGGGGCAACGGCCCACCAAGGCGACGAUGUCUAGGGGUUCUGAGAGGAAGGUCCCCCACACUGGUACUGAGACACGGACCAGACUCCUACGGGAGGCAGCAGUGAGGAAUAUUGGUCAAUGGGCGCGAGCCUGAACCAGCCAAGUCGCGUGAGGGAUGACGGCCCUACGGGUUGUAAACCUCUUUUGUCGGGGAGCAAAUUCCGCCACGUGUGGCGGAGUCGAGAGUACCCGAAGAAAAAGCAUCGGCUAACUCCGUGCCAGCAGCCGCGGUAAUACGGAGGAUGCGAGCGUUAUCCGGAUUUAUUGGGUUUAAAGGGUGCGUAGGCGGACUGUCAAGUCAGCGGUAAAAUACGGGGGCUCAACCUCCGCCCGCCGUUGAAACUGACGGUCUUGAGUGGGCGAGAAGUAUGCGGAAUGCGUGGUGUAGCGGUGAAAUGCAUAGAUAUCACGCAGAACUCCGAUUGCGAAGGCAGCAUACCGGCGCCCAACUGACGCUGAAGCACGAAAGCGUGGGUAUCGAACAGGAUUAGAUACCCUGGUAGUCCACGCAGUAAACGAUGAAUACUAGCUGUCCGGGGCGAAUGAGCCCUGGGUGGCACAGCGAAAGCGUUAAGUAUUCCACCUGGGGAGUACGCCGGCAACGGUGAAACUCAAAGGAAUUGACGGGGGCCCGCACAAGCGGAGGAACAUGUGGUUUAAUUCGAUGAUACGCGAGGAACCUUACCCGGGCUCAAACGACACAGGAACGUACCUGAAAGGGUUCGGCUCUACGGAGCCUGUGUCGAGGUGCUGCAUGGUUGUCGUCAGCUCGUGUCGUGAGAUGUUGGGUUAAGUCCCGCAACGAGCGCAACCCCUAUCCUCAGUAGCCAGCAUUUAAGGUGGGCACUCUGGGGAGACUGCCAGGGAUAACCUGGAGGAAGGCGGGGAUGACGUCAAAUCAUCAUGCCCCUUAUGAUUUGGGCUACACACGUGCUACAAUGGCGUAAACAAAGGGAAGCGAGAUCGUGAGAUGGAGCAAAUCCCAAAAAUAACGUCCCAGUUCGGACUGUAGUCUGCAACCCGACUACACGAAGCUGGAAUCGCUAGUAAUCGCGGAUCAGAAUGCCGCGGUGAAUACGUUCCCGGGUCUUGUACUCACCGCCCGUCA